UACGUAGGGCGCAGCGUUGUUCGGAGUUACUGGGCGUAAAGGGUGUGUAGGCGGUUGGAUAAGUGUGGUGUGAAAUCUCCCGGCUCAACUGGGAGGGUGCGCUACAAACUGUCUGACUAGAGUGUGGGAUGGGAAAGUGGAAUUCCUGGUGUAGCGGUGAAAUGCGUAGAUAUCAGGAGGAACACCGGUGGUGUAGACGCUUUCUGGACCAUAACUGACGUGAGACACGAAAAGCGUGGGUAGCAAACAGG
rnacentral:rRNA from 1 species